rnacentral:rRNA from 1 species
UACAGAGGUCUCAAGCGUUGUUCGGAUUCAUUGGGCGUAAAGGGUGCGUAGGUGGCGCCGUAAGUCAGGUGUGAAAUUUCGGAGCUUAACUCCGAAACUGCAUUUGAUACUGCGGUGCUUGAGGACUGGAGAGGAGACUGGAAUUCACGGUGUAGCAGUGAAAUGCGUAGAUAUCGUGAGGAAGACCAGUGGCGAAGGCGGGUCUCUGGACGACUCCUGACACUGAGGCAACGAAAGCUAGGGGAGCAAACAGG